GAGUUUGAUCAUGGCUCAGGAUGAACGCUGGCGGCGUGCCUAAUACAUGCAAGUCGAGCGAACGGACGAGAAGCUUGCUUCUCUGAUGUUAGCGGCGGACGGGUGAGUAACACGUGGAUAACCUACCUAUAAGACUGGGAUAACUUCGGGAAACCGGAGCUAAUACCGGAUAAUAUUUUGAACCCCAUGGUUCAAAAGUAAAAGACGGUCUUGCUGUCACUUAUAGAUGGAUCCGCGCUGCAUUAGCUAGUUGGUAAGGUAACGGCUUACCAAGGCAACGAUGCAUAGCCGACCUGAGAGGGUGAUCGGCCACACUGGAACUGAGACACGGUCCAGACUCCUACGGGAGGCAGCAGUAGGGAAUCUUCCGCAAUGGGCGAAAGCCUGACGGAGCAACGCCGCGUGAGUGAUGAAGGUCUUCGGAUCGUAAAACUCUGUUAUUAGGGAAGAACAUAUGUGUAAGUAACUGUGCACAUCUUGACGGUACCUAAUCAGAAAGCCACGGCUAACUACGUG
rnacentral:rRNA from 1 species